UUGAACAGUCAGAUAUCAAUGAUUAGUCAGUGGAGGAAGAGGUCUACAAAAUAGUUGCGCUAGGCAUAAACGAUGCUCUUGUUGAUAACCAAAUUACUCCACAAGCUCACCAGCCAUUUGAUUUGGAUAACCCUAUGUUGGAAGACUAGUUUUUUAUAUUAUUAU